CGCGCUUGGUUGAAAAGCCAGUG
rnacentral:siRNA from 1 species